rnacentral:lncRNA from 1 species
AAUUCUUUGCUUCACAAUGGCACAACUUUAACAGGAACGGAGCAGAGUCGUCUAUGUUUUCAAACGCCCUGCCUCUUGCUGGGAAGAGAAUCUUUGGACUGAUUGGACUCCUUCCUUCUGCCAUUGUUACCCGAAUCCGGAAAGCUGGCAAGCCAUGGGUGCAGCUACUUUCUGACUGUCUGGUGUCACCUAGAGCAAAAUGCAAGUUGUGUUCAGAUUGUACUGUAGAUGAGAUUUCCCCAUGUCCACAGUGUUCUGAGAGCACAGUAAUAUCUGGAAGGAACCUCUGAUCCUUCCUUUCCUGCCCCAAACAGAAUAAUUUGAACGAUAACGUGCUGGUAAAUCUGAAACAAGUCUUGAUGCUGCUUCACCUCAAGAUGAUGAUUGCCUUUCCAUAGAUCUCAAUAGAAAGCCAUAAUGCUUUUAUCAAUUCUUACUCCCUAUAGCAGCUUCUUCCCAGAAUGGUUAUUUUAAGAAAAGGUUAAAGUCAUCAUUUUUGAGGUGAUUUACGUAAGAAAUGACAACGUCUGCAGAAUGAUUGGUCAUUGUUUUUAAAUAAGCACUUUUAUAACCUCAUCAUCUUACAUGUUCUAGUCACUUGAUUUUUUGGAAAGUUUUGGAUUUCAAAAUACUGGGGUUUACCUUAGAUUCCAUUUCCACUGCAUACUUCAUUCCUACAAUUCUCAUGUCAUUAUCCUAACUAUUAAAAUUAGAAUAAAUACAUGCAACUAUAUAUAUGUACCUGUGGA